ACGGUUUGUGCGACGCAGCUAACGCAUUAAGCGCCCCGCCUGGGGAGUACGAUCGCAAGAUUAAAACUCAAAGGAAUUGACGGGGCCCCGCACAAGCAGCGGAGCAUGCGGCUUAAUUCGACGCAACGCGAAGAACCUUACCAAGGCUUGACAUAUACAGGAAUAUGGCAGAGAUGUCAUAGCCGCAAGGUCUGUAUACAGGUGGUGCAUGGUUGUCGUCAGCUCGUGUCGUGAGAUGUUGGGUUAAGUCCCGCAACGAGCGCAACCCUCGUUCUGUGUUGCCAGCAUUUAGUUGGGGACUCACAGGAGACUGCCGGGGUUAACUCGGAGGAAGGUGGGGAUGACGUCAAAUCAUCAUGCCCCUUAUGUCUUGGGCUGCACGCAUGCUACAAUGGCUGGUACAAACGGCUGCAAUACCGCAAGGUGGAGCGAAUCCGAGAAAGCCAGUCUCAGUUCGGAUUGGGGUCUGCAACUCGACCCCAUGAAGUCGGAGUUGCUAGUAAUCGUAGAUCAGCAACGCUACGGUGAAUACGUUCCCGGGGCUUGUACACACCGCCCGUCACAUCACGAAAGUCGGUAACACCCAAAAGUCAGUGGCCCAACCGCAAGGAGGGAGCUGCCAAAG
rnacentral:rRNA from 1 species